UACAGAGGGGGCAAGCGUUGUUCGGAAUUACUGGGCGUAAAGCGAGUGUAGGCGGUCUGCUAAGUCGGGUGUGAAAGCCCUGGGCUCAACCCAGGAAGUGCACUCGAAACUGGCGGGCUAGAGUAUCGGAGAGGUUGGUGGAAUUCUCGGUGUAGGGGUGAAAUUCGUAGAUAUCGAGAGGAACACCGGUGGCGAAGGCGGCCAACUGGACGAAUACUGACGCUGAGACUCGAAAGCGUGGGGAGCAAACAGG
rnacentral:rRNA from 1 species